rnacentral:rRNA from 1 species
GACGUAGGGGGCCAGCGUUGUUCGGAAUUACUGGGUGUAAAGGGUUCGUAGGCGGUGCGGCAAGUUGGGAGUGAAAUCUCUGGGCUUAACCCAGAGGCUGCUUCCAAAACUGCUGUGCUUGAGUGUGGGAGAGGCGCGUGGAAUUGCAGGUGUAGCGGUGAAAUACGUAGAUAUCUGCAGGAACACCCGUGGCGAAAGCGGCGCGCUGGACCACUACUGGCGCUGAGGAACGAAAGCUAGGGGAGCAAACAGG